UUGAACGCUGGCGGCAGGCUUAACACAUGCAAGUCGAACGGUAACAGAGAAUAGCUUGCUAUUUUGCUGACGAGUGGCGGACGGGUGAGUAAUGCUUGGGUAUAUGCCAAUAGGUGGGGGACAACAGUUGGAAACGACUGCUAAUACCGCAUAAUCUCUUCGGAGCAAAGCAGGGGACCUUCGGGCCUUGCGCCUAUUGAUUAGCCCAAGUGGGAUUAGCUGGUUGGUAAGGUAACGGCUUACCAAGGCGACGAUCCCUAGCUGGUCUUAGAGGAUGACCAGCCACACUGGAACUGAGACACGGUCCAGACUCCUACGGGAGGCAGCAGUGGGGAAUAUUGCACAAUGGAGGAAACUCUGAUGCAGCCAUGCCGCGUGUGUGAAGAAGGCUUUCGGGUUGUAAAGCACUUUCAGCGAGGAGGAAAGGGUAUUGCUUAAUACGUAAUAUCUGUGACGUUACUCGCAGAAGAAGCACCGGCUAACUCCGUG
rnacentral:rRNA from 1 species